rnacentral:lncRNA from 1 species
GCGGUUUGUGUUUUUAGGGCCUUUUGUCGCACUAGGUUUGUGACGACAAGGAUAUUGUCACUAUUUUGUGGUAGUUUUUUUUUUUUUUUUUUUUUUUGGUUGCCAUAAGUGGUAGAGGUUGCCGAUGGCUAGGGUUUUUGUAUUUUUGUCUGAGAGGCCGAGUUUAACCGGCUCUGAUACCAACUCAAACACAGAAGAAUUGAAUAAUUGUGAAUGAUAUUAUAUUUCUCCAAGAGGAGGAUAUUGAUGGGUUUCCCUCCUUUGUGAAGGAUAGAAAAAGAAUGGAAAAUAAAUAGUAAAAUAAAAAACGGGAGAAUUUGAAGAAAACGAAUGGAAGAGAAAAGGAGAAGUGUCUCAUCAUGCAUUGUUGCUCCUAUUCUUAACAACUAAAAUGAGUUAUUAAAAACAGAAACUUUAAUUCUCGCAAGUGCACGAACCGUUUAUAGUAUAGCUUAUGUAAAUACGAGGUCGAUCCCACGGAGAAUGGUAACUUGGUUCCAAGUUAAAUUUUACUUAGAAUGCUAGAAAAACUUAGAACAAAGAAACUAACUAACUAGCCAAAGGCAAGGUCGAAUUCAACAAUGCCUCUUGCUAAUUACUCAAGGUCUAGGACAGAAUCCUAGCACCACACACGCACUCGAAAUGGGGGGGUUUUGUUGUUGAAAGGAAAAGAAGAAAGUGAAAUGAAAGUGCUCGAAAGUAAGCAUUGACAGCAAUCAACAAGUUGUGAAACAAUGAUUGAGAGGUGUUAGAGCCUUG